UACAGGGGGGGGCAAGCGUUGUUCGGAAUUACUGGGCGUAAAGGGUUUGUAGGUGGCUUGUUAAGUCAGACGUGAAAUCCCUCAGCUUAACUGGGGAACUGCGUCUGAUACUGAUGAGCUUGAGUGCAGGAGAGGAACGCGGAAUUCCAGGUGUAGCGGUGAAAUGCGUAGAUAUCGGAAGGAACAUCAGUGGCGAAAGCGGCUUCCUGGACCAGCACCGACGUUCAGGCACGAAAGCGUGGGGAGCAAACAGG
rnacentral:rRNA from 1 species